rnacentral:rRNA from 1 species
AUUGAACGCUGGCGGCAGGCUUAACACAUGCAAGUCGAGCGGAGCGAGGGUGCUUGCACCUUAGCUUAGCGGCGGACGGGUGAGUAAUGCUUAGGAAUCUGCCUAUUAGUGGGGGACGACAUUCCGAAAGGAAUGCUAAUACCGCAUACGCCCUACGGGGGAAAGCAGGGGAUCUUCGGACCUUGCGCUAAUAGAUGAGCCUAAGUCGGAUUAGCUAGUUGGUGGGGUAAAGGCCUACCAAGGCGACGAUCUGUAGCGGGUCUGAGAGGAUGAUCCGCCACACUGGGACUGAGACACGGCCCAGACUCCUACGGGAGGCAGCAGUGGGGAAUAUUGGACAACGGGCGGAAGCCUGAUCCAGCCAUGCCGCGUGUGUGAAGAAGACCUUUUGGUUGUAAAGCACUUUAAGCGAGGAGGAGGCUACUUAGAUUAAUACUCUGGGAUAGUGGACGUUACUCGCAGAAUAAGCACCGGCUAACUCUGUGCCAGCCGCCGCGGUAA